AUUCGCGUUUUAAUCCCAGAAACUAGAUACAAUUUUCCACCAGAAACCAACCUCAAAGUUGAAAUAAUCAGUUAUUUUUAUUUUUUACUUCGUUUAAAAGCGACGACAGACAGAAAAAAAAACGCAUUGUACAAUCAAUACUUUUGUCGCUCAGAUCAGAAUUUAAAAUUAGACGAAUAAUCAAAGAUUUAAAGAACUAUUACGGAUGUACAUUUUUAUUGAAUUUAAAAUUUAAAAUUAUAUUAUAUCAAAAUUAUACACUGAACACAAACACACAAUUCGGACACAAUCAUUGAACACCAACGUUUUCCAAUCGAUCUGAAUAAAACUCAAAUCAUUGAACCAAUAAAAUUCUAGUAUUCAUGAGAAAUAUACAAGACACAAGCUUUCCAUAAACGAUCUAAGGAAGGUUGUAGUCACUGCCCGCUGGUCAGAUGAGUGGUCUGGAAGAAUUUUGAAUCAUAUUCGUCCAUGGCAGAAUGUCUGUUAUUCAAAUUUCGCGGUUAUAGACAGUUUUUCAAUUUUCUUUACUUCGUCUACUGUCUAGUUCGGCAGAUUAAAAUAUUAAGUAGAAAAGACAAAUUCGAUUCGAGGUCAUAAAUUAUAUAUUAAAAACAAACAUUAUGUCGAUCCGAAAAAUAUUGAUUGCAACUAAACCGUUGUCCAGAAGUAUCCAUGGAAGCAAACCCCUGUGUGAAGAUGCACGUUUGAAAAAUUUAAAGGAAUGGCAAUCAUUAUUCCAAAAACCUGAUGGUGUACCUAUUUACCUGAAACGUGGAAUGACAGAUCGCCUUUUGGUUGGUUUCUUAGUCAUUGGUACAUUUGCCGGACUUGCAAACUCAUUCAAAUAUUUGUACGAAGAAGUUAUUAAACCAUGAAUAAUGUACACAUGUAGAUUUUACAGUUAGUUUUGUAAUAAUAAUAAUAAUAAUACAGUGAGGAAAUCUUGUAAUAAAUUAUGUAUUAUUAUUGAAAAUAUAUUGCGAGUUUUGUUUACAUCAGGUUAACAAAAAAAUAAAAAAUAUACAUUUAAAAAGAA